rnacentral:tRNA from 1 species
GGAUUCAUGGCGCAAUGGUAGCACAUCUGACUCCAAAUCAAAAGGUUGCGUGUUCCAUUCACAAUGGGUUCA